rnacentral:rRNA from 1 species
CUUGGUCAUUUAGAGGAAGUAAAAGUCGUAACAAGGUCUCCGUAGGUGAACCUGCGGAGGGAUCAUUACAAGUGACCCCGGCUACGGCCGGGAUGUUCAUAACCCUUUGUUGUCCGACUCUGUUGCCUCCGGGGCGACCCUGCCUUCGGGCGGGGGCUCCGGGUGGACACUUCAAACUCUUGCGUAACUUUGCAGUCUGAGUAAACUUAAUUAAUAAAUUAAAACUUUUAACAACGGAUCUCUUGGUUCUGGCAUCGAUGAAGAACGCAGCGAAAUGCGAUAAGUAAUGUGAAUUGCAGAAUUCAGUGAAUCAUCGAAUCUUUGAACGCACAUUGCGCCCCCUGGUAUUCCGGGGGGCAUGCCUGUUCGAGCGUCAUUUCACCACUCAAGCCUCGCUUGGUAUUGGGCAACGCGGUCCGCCGCGUGCCUCAAAUCGUCCGGCUGGGUCUUCUGUCCCCUAAGCGUUGUGGAAACUAUUCGCUAAAGGGUGUUCGGGAGGCUACGCCGUAAAACAACCCCAUUUCUAAGGUUGACCUCGGAUCAGGUAGGGAUACCCGCUGAACUUAAGCAUAUCAAUAAGCGGAGGA